AAAUUUCUUAUCUGUCACAAAAAUAAACAUUAUAAGAUAAACUAAAAUGGGUGUCCUUUCUCUUAGGAAAAUAAGUUUACUAUUAUUUCCUAUUGUUUUGUUACUUUCGUUCCUAUGGUCAGCUUCAGCUGCAAAUUCAUCUAACAAUACUUUUGUUCAUUGCCUUGUAAACCAUUCAAAUCCCUCUCAUCCCAUAACUUCAGCAAUUUUCACACCAAAAAAUACAUCAUUCUCUUCAGUUUUGCAAGCCUACAUUAGAAACCUUCGUUUCAACACCUCCACUACAAGAAAACCCUACCUGAUAAUCACUGCAUUGCAUGUGUCACAUGUACAAACAGCAGUUGUUUGUGCUCAAAAGCACAACUUACAAAAUUAAAAGUCAAGAUUCACUCCCUAUAAGUUACAAAGAGAUAAUAAUCAUGUACCCCAAAUUGAAUACUUUCUUACUCAUAAAGGAUAUAUUUAAUUAACACUCAAAAUAUAUAACAAUUAGUGUGUUGCAUGGGGUAAAAAACAGUACUAUGUUUACACAUUUAUAAGGGUUAAGUUGUUUUACAGGAACCAAGAAAAUCAUUUAUUUUUUGCUUCUAACAAAGUUGUUACCAAUUUCCCUAAUAUAUCAUUCUCAGCCAGCUUCUUCAUUUUACUCUAUUGUUAUCUUGUCAUUCUCGAGAAGAAUAAGGAUAAGAACAAUUUUCAUUUAGAAAAAUUACAUUUAUAAUGGAGGGAUGGAGAAUUAACAGUUUUAAAAUUUUCAUUCAAUAACUAAUGUUUUAAAUAGCUAAAAUAAAGUCUAACUCCUUGGAGCAGAAGUUAUUGAGAAACAAAAUUACAUAUUUGAAAAAGAUUAAUUCUUUAUUAAAAAAGGUGAUACGAUACUUACCAAAGCAUUGCUAAAAGUCUAAAACCAUAAAGGAAGAUUUGUUAAGACUCGAGAGAGUAUCCCAUUACUCGUUUCAAAAUUAGACGCAUUGAAAUAUUUAAAAGAUAUCCUUAAAGUGUAAGCAUGACCAAAAUAUGUAGAAUAUCAAUUGCAAACGAUUACUAUCACGUUGAAUAAUUAUAUAUAUAAUUGUUGAUGACGUGUUUGAUUAAGUCAACUUUUCUAAUCACAAUCUCAAUGUCAACCCGCAGACUAAAUUUAUGCAUACUACUGAAAGAUAUUCAACGUACAUAUUAUUUGAAUAAUGAAUCCUUCAAACUAUUUAUGUGUACACAAUGGAUAAUAGCUUAGACAAUUGAUUUGAUCACGAAAAUUAUAUUAUGAUAAAAGCAAGUCUAAUAGAUUUUUUUGGUACUAUCAAAUUUGAUAGUUUGAUAGACCAACAUCUUAUUGGUAACAAGUUUAAAAGACUGAAUUUAUAUUUAAAUAUAUUAUGGUUAAGAUGUUACUAUCGGCAAAGCCCUAAACUUCGUUGUUUAACUUAUUUUUAGAUUAAUAUCCAGUCCUACAAGUUUUUUUGUUUUAAUUAAGUUUUCGAUAUCAUCUAUUGAAUUGUUUCCCUUAAUUACAAUAAAAAUGCAUUAUCAGUGUACAGAUUUAUACACAUAUAUUAAAUCAUCAACCAUUCUUUUGUAUUAUGUUUUUUAAUAUUUAAUAAUAAUUAAAAAUGAAUGGUGAAUAAUAAACUGUCUGUGUAUAAAACUUGUACAAGUUUAUUUUAUGUUUAUUUUAGGUGGUGUGGGACAAAAAAGAUAUAAAAGAUAAAAAAAUAUUUAUGAAUAUCUAGCAUAAAAAAUAAUUUUACAUUUAUUUGAGUUUCAAGUAAUUGAUAUAAUUUGAUGGGGUUUUAAUGAGUAGAAAUGAGAUAUGAAUUAUUGAAAACUCUUAUAAAAAAACAACUUAAAGUAGAUUUAUGUUGGUACAAUAAAAGCAAUUGACUUUUGUGAAGUUUUGACUAUAAACAAUAAAAUAAAAUAAAAUAGCAGAAAAUAAAAAGAAGAGAAGAUGACAAAAAGAUUUGUUAAUGAGAAAUAUUUUUCUACCUAAAACUAUAUAGCAUUUACUUUUUAUUGCUCAUGGGUAUACAUAUAUAGGAGUGAAAUUUAAUCUUGUAAGACAUAUAAAUAAAAAUAAGUUUUUUGUUAUAAAUAAAGUAAUCAAACAAUAUUAGGAUAUAAAAUGGUUCAUACAAUUAAUGAAGGUGGGUACCAUAUAUUGUAGACAGACUGAAUACUAACACAUUCCAACAAUUGACGUAAAGAGAGUUUUCUAUUCUUUGUAAGUAAAACAUGAUAAUUUUUCUAUAAUUUUUUAAUUUAUAAUAGAAUUUUCAGUUAAUUUAUAGUAAUAUAAAAAUUAUAAAUCUAUUUAAUAAUAUUAAUAUUAGGUUAUGAUUAAGAUUUUAUUUUAUAAAAUUUAAACCCAUUUCUUUUCUUGAUUGGGGGCGAUUCUUAUAAAUUAUAUAAUCAGUAUUCAAUUGAAAAUAGGGUCACGGAAAUUAUCCUAAAAUAAAAUGUCUUUGUGAAGGACAUUAACUAAUACCUUCCAGAAUAGUCCCUAUCAUCAACUUAUAUUGUUAAAACUUAAAAGUUCAGUUCACGUCUGAAAGAAUUAAACUCAAAUUGUAACCCAUGUAUAUAUGUAUAAUGUAUGACUAAGAAAUAAACAAAAUAAUGUAGAAACAUGACUGAUCAACGUGUGUUCUAUUAGUUUUUCCUCCGAAACCCACUGCUCCAGUAGCCAACCGCACUAUGAGAUGUAAACCUUAUUUAAAAUAAUGUGGGGACAAACCGUGCAUCUUGAAAGGAUUCAGAGCUAGAAGAUAUUGACUAUCAUAUUUUACAAGGUCUAAGUUAUGUUAGGUUAUCCAUAUUUACUUUGAAAAUUCUUUGGUCAAAUUUUGAGAUAACCUAAACCGAAUUCUCAUUUCAUUCUUUAAUAAUUUGUAUUUCCAAUGAACCAUUAUAAAUUCCAAUGUAGAUCAUGCCCAACAUUAAUCACUAAAAAUUUCUUAUCUGUCACAAAAAUAAACAUUAUAAGAUAAACUAAAAUGGGUGUCCUUUCUCUUAGGAAAAUAAGUUUACUAUUAUUUCCUAUUGUUUUGUUACUUUCGUUCCUAUGGUCAGCUUCAGCUGCAAAUUCAUCUAACAAUACUUUUGUUCAUUGCCUUGUAAACCAUUCAAAUCCCUCUCAUCCCAUAACUUCAGCAAUUUUCACACCAAAAAAUACAUCAUUCUCUUCAGUUUUGCAAGCCUACAUUAGAAACCUUCGUUUCAACACCUCCACUACAAGAAAACCCUACCUGAUAAUCACUGCAUUGCAUGUGUCACAUGUACAAACAGCAGUUGUUUGUGCUCAAAAGCACAACUUACAGAUGAAAAUCAGAAGUGG
rnacentral:lncRNA from 1 species